rnacentral:rRNA from 1 species
UGGGCGCAAGCCUGAUCCAGCCAUGCCGCGUGCAGGAAGAAGCAUCUAUGGUGUGUAAACUGCUUUUGUACGGGAAGAAACACUCCUUCGUGAAGGAGCUUGACGGUACCGUAAGAAUAAGGAUCGGCUAACUCCGUGCCAGCAGCCGCGGUAAUACGGAGGAUCCAAGCGUUAUCCGGAAUCAUUGGGUUUAAAGGGUCCGUAGGCGGUUUGGUAAGACAGAGGUGAAAUCCCCGGGCUCAACCUGGGAACUGCCUUUGUGACUGCAAGGCUAGAGUACGGCAGAGGGGGAUGGAAUUCCGCGUGUAGCAGUGAAAUGCGUAGAUAUGCGGAGGAACACCGAUGGCGAAGGCAAUCCCCUGGGCCUGCACUGACGCUCAUGCACGAAAGCGUGGGGAGCAAACAGGAUUAGAUACCCUGGUAGUCCACGCCCUAAACGAUGUCAACUGGUUGUUGGGUCUUUGCUGACUCAGUAACGAAGCUAACGCGUGAAGUUGACCGCCUGGG